rnacentral:rRNA from 1 species
AGAGUUUGAUCAUGGCUCAGGAUGAACGCUAGCGAUAGGCCUUACACAUGCAAGUCGAGGGCAGCACAUAAAUUGUAGCAAUACGAUUUGGUGGCGACCGGCGCACGGGUGAGUAACGCGUAUGCAACCUACCUACUACUUUGGCAUAGCUCGUUGAAAGACGAAUUAAUACCUCAUAAAACAGGGGCUCCGCAUGGAGAUAUUUGUUAAAGAUUUAUCGGUAGUAGAUGGGCAUGCGUUCCAUUAGUUAGUUGGCGAGGUAACGGCUCACCAAGACAACGAUGGAUAGGGGAACUGAGAGGUUUAUCCCCUACACUGGAACUGAGACACGGUCCAGACUCCUACGGGAGGCAGCAGUGAGGAAUAUUGGUCAAUGGAGGCAACUCUGAACCAGCCAAGUCGCGUGAAGGAUGACGGCCCUACGGGUUGUAAACUUCUUUUUAAGGGAAUAAAGUGAGCCACGUGUGGCUUUUUGCAUGUACCUUACGAAUAAGGAUCGGCUAACUCCGUG